UGCAACUUCUUUGGUUGAUGGUAUGUCUAG
rnacentral:piRNA from 1 species